rnacentral:rRNA from 1 species
UACGUAGGGCGCAAGCGUUGUCCGGAAUUAUUGGGCGUAAAGAGCUCGUAGGCGGUUUGUCGCGUCUGGUGUGAAAACCCAAGGCUCAACCUUGGGCUUGCAUCGGGUACGGGCAGACUAGAGUGCGGUGGGGGUGACUGGAAUUCCUGGUGUAGCGGUGGAAUGCGCAGAUAUCAGGAGGAACACCGAUGGCGAAGGCAGGUCACUGGGCCGCAACUGACGCUGAGGAGCGAAAGCAUGGGUAGCGAACAG